GGUUAUGGCUCAGCGGUAGAGUGCUUGCCUAGCACGUGCAAGGCCCUGGGUUCAAUCCUCAGCACCG
rnacentral:tRNA from 1 species